ensembl:lncRNA
ACACGCUGGAGUGUGGCGGGCUGACGGGUCUGAGACCUGAAGGACCCGGGAACCGCAAAGCACGGUGUGCCUCCGUUGUCCUGAAGAAAAAGCCGCGCGCAGACGACUGGCCGGCCCGCGCUCGCAGCUCCCAGACGUUGACAGGCAUCCUCGGGUGACCGGGUUGGCUGCUCCUUUGCUUUCAAAUAAGAUUUCUUCUCAGAAAGUCUACAUGUACUGAAUAAAAUCUGCAGUUUAUACAAUAUCACAUGACUUCAGAGUAAAUCCUAACUUUGUCAAAGCCUCGCUGAAUUUCCCACAAUAGAUAAAGACCCAGCUUUCCCUAGGAGCUAAAGGGAGAAAAAAAUCCCAACCUAGUGUGCAGGGUGUAACCAGUUGACACAGAACUGUGUAUUUGAAAACAAAAUAGAUUUCAAAACCUAAGGGGAGGCAAAUGAUUUGAGUAGAUUUUCUCCCAAGCAGACUUACAAAUGCCAAGAAGCACGAGGGAAAAAAAACCUUAGCAUCAUUAGUCAUUAGGGAAAUGCAAAACAAACCUACAAUGAGAUAUCAUUUCACAUCCACUUGGAUGGCUGUAAUCAGAAAGUCAAAUAAUAACAAGUGUUGACAAGGAUAUGGAGAAACUGGAACCCUCAAAGAUUGCUGACGAGGAUAUAAAAUUAUGUAGUCACUUUAGAAAACAGUUUAACUGUUCCAUAAUAAGUUAAACAUGGAACUGUAUGAUCCAGCAGUUCCUCUCCCAGGCAUAGACUCAAGACAAAUAGAAACAUACAUCCACACAAAAAUGUAUAUAUGAAUAUUUAUAGCAGUAUUAUUCAUAAUUGCCAAAAAGUGGCUACAACCCAAGUGUCCAUCAACUGAUUAAUGUAUAAAUGUUAUAUAUCCAUACAGUGGAAUGUUUGGCCAUAAAAUGAAAAUGGAGUACCAAUACAUGCCAUGAUAUGUAUGAACCACAAAAACAUACCAAGACCACAUAUUGGAUGGUUUCAUUUAUAUGAAAUGUCCAAAGUAAUUAAAUCCAUAGAGACAGAAAGUAGGUUAGUGGUUGCCUAUGGCUGGGAAGGUGGGUAGAGUUAAAAGAGAAGUGGCUGCUAAUGGGUACAAGGUUUAUUUAGGAUAGAGGAGGAUGAAAAUGUUCUAAAAUUGAUUUUAGUGAUAGUUGAAAAACUCUGAAUAUGUUAAAAAUCAUUGAAUUGUACACUUUAAAUAGGCACAUUGUAUAGAAUAUGGAUUAUCUACCAAUAAACCUGUUUUUAAAUUAGUCAGGAAGAGCUACUCAAGGAGAUCAAAGGUCCUGGUGUUGGACAGACAUCUACCAAUAGCUCUUCCCUCCUCAUGUAGAGUGGAAGAUGUAACUGUCCAGAAUAGACGCAUUUCCCAGCCUCUCUUGCAGCUUGGUAUGACUUUGCAAGUAAUUCUCAACAGUGGAAUGCAAGCGUAGGUAAUGUGUUUAAGUUCCAAGCGUCCUUAAUAAUGAGAUACCAGCCACAUAUUGAAGACAACGGAGCAAUAAAAUAGGCAGAGCUUGGGUCUCUACUGCUUGUGAAACUGCUGUAUCAGUCCUGGACUGGUUUCCUGAGGGACAAAUAAACUUCUAACUUG